rnacentral:rRNA from 1 species
UACGUAGGGCGCAAGCGUUAUCCGGAAUUAUUGGGCGUAAAGAGCUCGUAGGCGGUUUGUCGCGUCUGCCGUGAAAGUCCGGGGCUCAACUCCGGGUCUGCGGUGGGUACGGGCAGACUAGAGUGAUGUAGGGGAGACUGGAAUUCCUGGUGUAGCGGUGAAAUGCGCAGAUAUCAGGAGGAACACCGGUGGCGAAGGCGGGUCUCUGGGCCGAUACUGACGCUGAGGAGCGAAAGCGUGGGGAGCGAACAGG